rnacentral:rRNA from 1 species
AGUGAACGCUGGCGGUAGGCCUAACACAUGCAAGUCGAACGGCAGCACAGUAAGAGCUUGCUCUUACGGGUGGCGAGUGGCGGACGGGUGAGGAAUACAUCGGAAUCUACUUUUUCGUGGGGGAUAACGUAGGGAAACUUACGCUAAUACCGCAUACGACCUACGGGUGAAAGCAGGGGAUCUUCGGACCUUGCGCGAUUGAAUGAGCCGAUGUCGGAUUAGCUAGUUGGCGGGGUAAAGGCCCACCAAGGCGACGAUCCGUAGCUGGUCUGAGAGGAUGGUCAGCCACACUGGAACUGAGACACGGUCCAGACUCCUGCGGGAGGCAGCAGUGGGGAAUGUUGGACAAUGGGCGCAAGCCUGAUACAGCCAUACCGCGUGGGUGAAGAAGGCCUUCGGGUUGUAAAGCCCUUUUGUUGGGAAAGAAAAGCAGCAGGUUAAUACCCCGCUGUUCUGACGGUACCCAAAGAAUAAGCACCGGCUAACUUCGUG